rfam:Gossypium raimondii chromosome 9, whole genome shotgun sequence.
AUUUUGUGAUGAGAGCACUUCUGUAAUAAUUCUUUGUACCUUUCCCAUGCCUCAUACAAUUACUCAUCAUACAUUUUUCGGAAAGUAGUGAUCUCAUUCCUCAACU